rnacentral:pre_miRNA from 1 species
AAUGUGAUUUCUGGAUGAUAUGGUAAUGGUACCUUAUGUUCAGUUUUGUGAGAAAUUGACAAACUAUCUUCCAUAGUGAUUUUAUCAUCUUGCAUUCCCACUAGCAAU